ensembl:lncRNA
AUGAAGCGAUACGAACUGAUACGAAAUGAUACGGAGUGAUAUGAAGCGAUAUGAAGCGAUAUGAAGCGGAUUCACACUGCGGUCCAACCUUUGUGCGCGCCGGGUGAAGGCUUGGCAGCACUGAUGCGAUUGUUGACCUCUGGCUCUCGUAACCUCACCACAACAGGCACUUAUAUCGGGGAGCUGGUAAAAGUUUGACGUGGGAAGAUUAAAUGAAAGCACCAAGGUACAUUUUCACCCCCCCCCUUCCUCUUUCUCUCUUUUUGUUUGGCUUCAGUCGAGAAAGUGGACUCACCUGUGUGCGAGUGCACUAUUAGGCCAGCAGAGAUAUUGGCGUUUUGAGUCCGCCGGCUCGAUGAAUCUCAGCAUCAACCAACGAUUGUUUGGAAAAAAACGGGGGGGAAAAAAAAGCAAAUAAAAGCAAACAAAAGCAAACCGCGGCUUUCGAGUCCCCUCCUCCCUUUUCUGCACGCACCAACCUGACCCAGAGUGCCGAGGGGCCGCUCGCUCAUCAAGCUGACCGUAAUACUCUGAAUCAGCCCCUCUCGCUCAGCGAUUCCACUCAUUUCCCUCCCUGGCCUCCCACCCCCCCUCCCUCCCUCCCACCUCCCAGUUUCUUUACUUGGCUCGUUCUCUCCUGCCAUCACUCCCACUUAAACCCGGCACGCAGGAGGCCUGAGAGAGCGGAUUGAUUUCCAGUAAGGCGAUGUGUCUGGAGCGGCGUUCUGGACCUCUCCGGAUACGUUCAUCCUCCUUUAUUGCUCCCUAAUCUCGAGGGGCGACCGCGUCUGCUUCUGAGGCUUCGCUGCAGACUCACACACCAAACACAUAAAAGGCGUACAAACAAAAACACGCGCUGGACGGUGCUCAGAUGAGGCCCGCGCUUAAUAGCUAAGCGUGGUCAUCGCCUCGUCUGUCUUAAUCGACCUCGGUCUUGAAUAAAUAAGCAUUUCAUUCCUGGCAAUGUGUCGUACCUGUAACAGCAUUAAUGCUGUCCAUGAACACCCCCCCCUCACAGGUUUUUCCCGAUAAAUGCCGUGGCAGCGGAAACGUUGCUUGUAUUCAGACCGCUGGCGGCAUUGUGAUUACAAGGAGCGUCCGAGCAGAAGGCAGGCAGAGGAUUUACCCACUGAUGGUUCUAUUGCCUCGAUCGACCCAAACAGCCUCCGUCUAUUCUUGGCAUGGUUCUGUCUGCCGUUUCCUCCGGGUCCGCGGGUUUGGAGGAGAGUCUGGCGGAGGUCCUGAGGUUUCAUUAUACACACCCUGAGCAACAAUUACAGAGAAGGCGGAACAACAAGUUGUUGAAUAUGUUGAUUGCCUCUCAGAUUUAUGUAUUUAAAAAAUGAAUUACAUUGUGAAAUGUUAUUAAAGAAUAUUCUCUAAGACAAGUUAACAGUUUAAUAUGUGGUUGUUUGUUUGACUGACCGACCAUCCGUAGACAUCCGUAUGAAAGGAAAUGUUUUGCAGUGUUGCAUAGUUAAUUAUUUAAUAAUAAGUGUCGGAUCAUUUUUGUGGGUUAAAUUAUUUACUAAUUGGUUUUUUAUUUUGGCACUAUGUUGAAAAGCAGCAAAAAACUUCUUGAAUGCUUGAAAAUCCUCUGCAACAAUGAAUCAAUUUCCACUAUAAAAAUAGUGUAAAGAAAAAAACAUUUCCACAGUGUUAGAAAAAACUAAAAGAGUGCCGCUGCUAAAAUCCAGACGUGGCAGACAAACCCUCGCUAGGACUCCACGCGGAAAGUGACGAGGCCGUCACCCACUGUCACUGGAUCUGAUCCUCCCGGCGGCGGUUUGAGUGGCGACGCUCGGCCUCAGCCUCUCCAUGAUGACGAGAGAUGGACGGAUGACAGCCACUGACAGGGAGGGUCUCAGCCUAUUUGUCCCUCCGUCUCCGGGGAAAGACGGAGGACCCUUCAAC